rnacentral:rRNA from 1 species
UGGGGAAUUUUGCGCAAUGGGGGAAACCCUGACGCAGCAACGCCGCGUGAGUGAUGAAGGCCUUCGGGUCGUAAAGCUCUGUCAGAGGGGAAGAAAUGCAGGGGUGCUAAUAUCAUCUUUGCUUGACGGUACCCUCAAAGGAAGCACCGGCUAACUCCGUGCCAGCAGCCGCGGUAAUACGGAGGGUGCGAGCGUUGUUCGGAAUUAUUGGGCGUAGAGCGCGUGUAGGCGGUUUGAUAAGUCUGAUGUGAAAGCCCCGGGCUCAACCUGGGAAGUGCAUUGGAAACUGUCAGACUUGAAUACGGGAGAGGGUAGUGGAAUUCCUAGUGUAGGAGUGAAAUCCGUAGAUAUUAGGAGGAACACCGGUGGCGAAGGCGGCUACCUGGACCGAUAUUGACGCUGAGGCGCGAAAGCGUGGGGAGCAAACAG